GAUCUUGGAAGAGGCAGCAAGGGUCUGGACAAUGAGAUCCAUGCGAGAAUUCACGGAUAUUUUCUCAUUAAGCAUUCUUUCUUUCAGGUCUUCUACCUGUUUCCCGAGUUUUGCAUUCUCCUUAGGCGUGCAACUUCUUAUCUCUGAGAAAUACUAGAACUAGGUGGCUUUUGUAACUGACUAAGCUGGCUCUCAAGAAUUGCAUUCUUAGCCUUCAACUUCCUGAUCUCCUCUGUGGCAUUUUUCCGAGUAUUUAUCAAUUAAGAGAUAAUGGAAGUGCUUCCAACUCCUCCGACCUUGUCAAUGUACUCAUACUCCUCAAGAGUAAUUUUUGAAAAGGAUUGCUUUUUAGUGCCCACUGUGGCCUGUCCAAGAGGUAACUUGAAGAACUCAAAGACCUUUGUGAGAAUAAAACCAUAGGGUAGUCCAGUAUUUCCAUCUUUAAGGUUUUCUACCUUCUGCAUAUACUCAAUCAUUAUGGAAGGAAAAUUGAUGGUGGUAAAAUUAUCCAAAGAUUCCAUAAGGAAUAGGUCAGCUUUGGAUGCAACAGAUCUUCUUUCAAUGCGGGGAAGCAACACAUUGUUAAGCAUCUCAAAGAGCAACUGAUAUACUGGAAGGACUUCCUUGUUAUGCACAUAUUCCUCAUGAUGAAUUGACUUAUCCUUCACAAUGGAAUUUCUGAAGUUUGAUUUAAAGGCACCCUAAGUAGAAGACAGUCGUUUGGUAAGAACACCCAGAAUUGACCCUAAUAAGGCAGUGUCCAUCACUAUGUCCACCCUAUUUAUCAACAUACAGAUUUGAUCACCAUCUACUGUGAAGAGGCUGGUAUAGAAACUUCCUACCUCAUCUUCAUAGACUUUGGGAGUAUCAUUUGUAAACAUAUUGGUCCAUUAUUGAGAAUCACAAAUGUCCACUAAUGGUCUCAUCCCAACAAUGAUGUCAUUGGAAAAUGUGCGACCUUACAGUACUUUUUGAUUUCUCAACUUCCUUUUCUCGGAACUCGGAGACUCACUAACUUUUGCUUUCUUAAUGGAACCAGGUUCGUCAUCAUCAUCCAUUUUCCUUUUUACUGACUUGCGAACAUACUUUCCCUUUUCUACUGACUUUUUCUGAACAAGUUCACUAGGUUUUUCCACUUCUUAAUCGUCAUACUUGUCACCACUCUCAUUCACUGUCUUGUCACCAGAAUGUUUCAUCAACUUUUCAUUAGAAGUAGCAUUUUCACUCCUCGAAGGACCUUAAGCAUGUGUAGAAGUGUGCCUGAUAGAUUGAGAGUGAUAGGGCUUUGGCUUCGAGAACAUGUGGGUUAAAGAACUAGGUUCCUCUUCAGCUUCCUCAUCCACAUUUACCUUAGGGACUACAUUUUCAUGCACAAUUUUUCCAUCCUUUACCAACGUUCUCUUUCUCUUGAUCCUUUGACUCUUCUUGAGAGCAGACUCACAGGCUUUCUUUUGCUGCAACCGAGUAAUGGGUCGCUUAGUGGUUGACUCUGGAGCUGCAACUAGAUUACUUCUAGCCCUACUAAAAUUAACAUAUGCCAAAUCAUUUGCUUCUUCUUCAUUGUUACAAUUAGUCUCAGGCACCACCAUAUUCAGAGGCUCAACAUAGACGUGAGGAGAAGGAACAAGGUCAAGAUUGGUCUGGGGAGUUGACCUCUGAUUUGGAUCCUCCUCUGAGGGAUCAGGUUCAUUACUUGGGACUCCAGUAGUGUCAUCUUGAGCAUAUUAUUCAAAAAGAACAAGUGCUCCCUAGUCUUCUCUGUACUAAAGCUCUUCUCUCUAAAACUCAGACAUUCCGCCACCUUCCUCUGCAACCCUUUCUGAAGUAAUGUAAAGAAUAUUUUCUAUCCUCUCUCUUUCUUGUAGAAUCAUGGAAAUUUCAGUAUAGGUAUGAGUGAUACCUAUAGAGUCGUGGAAUGUCAUGGUUGUCUUAGUGUCUUCAUGACUAAUCACUGGAUCUUUACUUGGGUGCCCAACAAUGGAGAGAGCUGAAGAUUCAUGACCGACGCUCCCUUGUUUACCAUGUUCACCCUAUUUACUCUGUUUGACCAAUGAGACGGGAUGAGGGCAAACAUUCUCAGCCAUGCUUAGAUAAGGACCAGAAUUGAAAUAGGUAGGAGAUGGAGUGAAGUGUAGAGGAGACUCUGAUUUAGGGUUUGGAUUAGUGAUUGUGUUGAGGGAGGAGUUCACCGCCAGAAUGCUGACUGGUGAGGACUUAAUCAUAGUGUUGUCAGGCAUACCGGAUAUUGCUUGAUUUUCAGACAUGGUGACAUUAUACUCAAAGGAUUUUGGGUUUGAGAAGAGAGAAGACAUAGAGGAAAUUUUGAAUUUGGAAGAUAAAGACUGUGAUGUUGAUUUAUUUAUGAUGAGGGACAUGUUCUAAAACAGCGACAACCUUUUGCUUGGGGAGUUGUAACGUUCAGAAAAAGGUGUGGCGUGUUGGAUGAAAAGUUAUAACUUAAAGAGACUGUCACGCUGAAGAUGAUAUGGAAUUGUUUGUGUUCAUUUUAAAAUAUGUAUUAAAUAACAAAGAAGAUACUAACAUGUAUCAACAAAACCGGGUUCCCUGAUAGGUCAGGCAAGUGAGUUUAACUCCUUUUUCAGUAUGCACUGCAGCAUCUGCUUCUUUAGUCAUCAUGCGUGUCUACUUGUAAGGGUAUAAAGGUGACUUAGACUUAGCCAAAAAAUAUUUUAGCUAACUUUUACCUGACUAUGACUUUCAUAACCAAUCAUGAGGAACUAGGUCCUUGGUUGGGUUUUAUCAUCUCUAGUGCAAGAAGAUUUUUCUUAGAAUAUUUUCUUUCCAAGGAUUUGGUUAAGAUGUCUAAAACUUGAUAUUCAACAAUCAGUGCAUUUUACCCCUUGAGUUGGACUCAAGUUUUUCCAAUUUGCUACUUGGUCUAUAGCAUUUGUGCACGUCAGGAGGUAGAUGAUACAUAUUUUGUUUCAGCUGUUGCGAGUGCCAAUGAACUUUGCUUUCUUGAGCCUUAUGAGACAGGACAUGAACCCAGAGAAUGUCCCAUUUUAGGCGAGCUUUUCCAAUCCGUUACGUGAAGGAAAAUAGAGAACCAGAUCAUGUGUUCCUCUAAGAUAUCUCAAAAUUAUUAUACUAGAUUUCAAACGAGACUCCUUUGGAUUUGACUAACACCUUGCACAUAACCCAACUGUGAGCACGAUGUUAGGUAUUCUUGCAGUGAGAUACAUCAUUGAUUCAGUGAUGUCUCUAUGAAUGGUUUGAUAAAGAGAAGAACUAGGUUCAUCCAUUUCUAGGUGUGUAGCUGUGGCAAUGAGAGUGUUGAUGACUUGUGAUGCCUUUAUGUCAACCCCCUUCUCACAACUUGGUUUUCAGCUUCUGUAGUUGUAGUUGUGGGACCAGGUUCCUUGCUAUAUCCAAUGAGCAUUCUCCACCUUGAUCAGUAUUUAUGUUCUCUCUUGAGAUAAGUACAUCAGGAGGAUUCCUCCAUCUCUUUUAGCAUCAGAUUUUCAAAGUUUAUCCUUCCUAUUGUUGAGAGCAUUUUUCCAUUCUGGCAUUAUCCAAACCUUUUCCAUGAUCUGAUCUGAUGCAAACACAUUUGUUUCUAUAUAUACUUGGAUCUUUUUGACAAAAGCCACAAUUACUUGAAGGAUCUCAUCCUUGGUUAUAAAGAACAUAGUUCAAGUGAACUUGGAGUUGUCAUUCACUGUCAACAGAUAUAUCUUCUUUCUUUCCUGUUGGGCUCUCUCGUUUCUCCAUACAGAUCCAUAUGAGAAAGGUCAAGUGGGCUUGAGGUGUUGACUACAACUUUUUGGCCUUGAAUAGAGUUAUGACAUACUUUCAGGUUUCACAAGCAUUGCACACUUUGUUUUCCUUGAUACUUAGCUUGGUCAGAUAACGAUCCAGGUACUUUAGGGCUAGUUUAUUCAGUGAUAAAACAGUUGCAUAUCCCAACAUUCUGUCCUAUAGUUCAGUAUUGCUUUCAGCAGCUCUCAACCAACUUGUGUCACCACUUCUGCAAAGGCAUAAGCACAACAUCAUCGGUAUUCUUGUAUCUUUUGGCAACAACAUCACCUCACCAGUCACAGGAUUUGAGAUUAUGCGUAUCCUAGACAAGAAUUCCACUUUUUCCCUUGACGCAUAUCUUCCAACUCCUAAAUUGUACCCCUUUAAGCUAAUUUUCAAAAGGGUACACUCUUUCCUUGCAGGGCUUUUAGUGAAGGAAAUUUAAUCGUAUUUUCAGUUAUGUACUUUGAGUAGUCGAUGUCUAUAUGUCACUGUUGGUUGAUUCCCUUCAUUGCUCUCCCUGAACAAGGAAAUCAAGAGUUAGAUUAGGAACCCAAACAAGUUUGGGUCCCUUCUUAAGAGAGAAUGAAUGAAUAAGUGUUCUCUUAAUCCAAGCAAGCAAAAUGUGUUUCCUAUUUGACAGACCAAGUCCUCUAGCAGUAGUUACUCUCUCAAUAAGGACUUUAUUUUUUUGAUGAGACUGAACCUUGGACAUGAAGUUUUCCUUGAGAUUCCCAUUGUUACCAUAGUGCGUACACAGCCGCCAAUUGUCGGCUACUAUAACGUACUUGCUAUGAGGGUUGUAAGGAAUCUUUUCCCUUUGAAACACAAUCUCCUACCUGUUUCCCCGGCUACUGGUGUACAUGACAGUGAUAGCAUCAAAUGACCAAGUACACUUAAGUAAUUUUUCAAGGUCACUCUUUACCUUCCCUAGUUCUUCCUGAAACUAUUUAUUUUUCUCAAGCUCAGCACACAGAUUAGUAUUUACCAAAUUCAACUUAGCUUCAAGCUUAAUGUGUGCGUCACUUGCAACUUCCUUUCUUUUUUCAGAGUUUCCAGGCCUAUUUACCAUUUUAAAUUUCUCAAUUGUUUCUUUCAAGUCUACUACCACCACUACUAGGUCAUCUCUUUCUCGCUCAAUGAUAUCAACUCUCUCAGGCAAGGUUUCUUUUUCUUUACUUGCACACUCAACGGUUUCUUUAAGUCCACCACAACAACCAUUAGAUCAUCUCUUUCAUCUUCUACACAGGCAAUUUUCUGUUCUAAGGCAUUCUUUUCCAUUUCCAUGUUCUCUAUUAUUUCUUUCAAAGUGACUACAACGACUACUAAGCCAUCUAUUUUGUUCAGCUUCCCCAAUUUCCAUAGUUA
rnacentral:lncRNA from 1 species